AAUUUAUUAAAUUUUAAGAAUAAUGUUUUUGUAAUUUUAGUAUAAGUUAGAAUUUAUAAUGUUAAGGACUGUGAAGGGGUAGUGAAAUAUAUGAAUAAUUAUUGUUUUUUAUAAAUAUUUAAUUUUCCCGAAAAAUUGAGAGCAAUAAAAUUUAAUUAAGUUUUGUAGAAAUAAAUUUUUAUAGAAUUGAAAUGGUAUUCGUUCAGUCUUAUAUCUGGUUAUAAAUAAAAAGUUUAGCUUGAAAUUUAAACGAAAUAAUUCUUGAGGGGGAAGUAUUUUGUUUAAAUUUAAAUUUUGAGCGGGUUAGCUUUCAUAAAAAAUUAUUUUAUUUUUUUAUUUAAUAACGGAUUAAUAGGUAGGCUUAAGAUCAGCCAUUUUUAUUAAGUUAUAUUUAAUAAAUCUAAAUAUCAAUUUAUUUGACAGUUAAAUUUUUAUAAUAAUAAUUUUAAUUUCAAAAAUUUUUAAAUAAUAAAAUUAUUAGUAGAAAGAAAAGUUAGUUAAAAUUUUUAGGAAAUUUAAUUUAAAGAAUUCGACAAAUGACAUUUCGACUGUUUAACAAAAACAUUUCUUUUAGAUUAUCUAUAAAGUACAACCUGGCCACUGAUAAUUUUAAGGGCCGCGGUAUUUUGACCGUGCAAAGGUAGCAUAAUCAUUAGUCUCUUAAUUAGAGAAUUGUAUGAACGGUUUAACGUAAUUUCAUUAUUUUUAUUUAAUGGUUGAAUUUUAAUUUAAAGUGAAAAUGCUUUAAUAUAUUUAAAGACGAUAAGACCCUAUAGAGUUUUAUUUUAUUUAACUUGUAGUAAUAAAGGAAAUUUUUAUUACAAAUUAAUAAAAUUUUAUUGGGGCAAUAUAAGAAUAAAAAUAACUUCUUAAAUAAAAAUUCUAUAAGAGUAUAUAACUUGGAGUCUAAAAUUAAUAAAAAACUACCUUAGGGAUAACAGCGUUAUUAAAAUUAAGAGUUCAUAUCGACAUUUUAGAUUGCGACCUCGAUGUUGAAUUAAAAAUUCUUUAGGGUGCAGAAGUCCUAUAAGAUAGUCUGUUCGACUAUUCAAUUUUUACAUGAUUUGAGUUCAAAUCGGCGUGAGCCAGGUUGGUUUCUAUCUUAAAUUUUAUUUUAACUUAUUUAGUACGAAAGGACCAAUUUAUUUUAAUUAUUAAU
rnacentral:rRNA from 1 species